rnacentral:tRNA from 2 species
GCCGCGAUAGUUCAUUCGGUAGAACGCAUCCAUGGUAAGGAUGAAAGACGAGUUCAAAUCUCGUUCGUGGCU